UGCAGAUGGGAGGAGAAAGGAGAAGCUUCCCUGCACCAUCGAGUUUUGUCUUUCACUUUGUCUCCAUUAGGAACCUACUCUGUGGUUCCUGACCUUCUGUGUCCCAACUGUGCUUAUAUUUCACAGGUGGUAUGUCAGCUAUGGAUGCUGUGAUGGAUGAGGAAAGGAGCUCCUGCCCCCCACAAAGAUGAUAAUACCCUGAAAUGACCUGCCUACAGCUCCUCAUGUGCUCCAUCAAUCAUUAUAGACGAGAUAUUAUUCCUGGAGACACCACUGAAGACCCAAAGCGUGGUUGAACCUCUGGGAACACCCAGAGAAGCCUAACUUUGUCCCUACCCUCAAGGAAUUUAGCAUCUAGGAGUUUAGGUGGUGUUUAUUUUCCUUGGGGUUCACCAUGGGCACAGGAGAAAGGUAGUCUUGGAAAUGCCUUCCUUGGUGUCAGCUUGAGCAAAAUAACACCCCGGUGACAUUUGCUGAUGACUGGAGAUGUUUGGUCAGCCAGGUAUCAUACCGUACCGGGUGUGAUCAUGCGCGCACUGCCCUUGGUAGGCUGUGUUGUACUUGUAUGUCUGCAAGGGCUGAGGAAGAGCGGGGGCAUUAACAGUGAGCCUCUAUGUGCCACUAUGGGCCAGCACGUGGCAAGAGCUCCACAGGUGUAGAUCUUCCUCAUAAACAGUGCAGUGGCAGGCGGCACGGCUCCCCCUCUUUGGGGGAGGACGAACUCCAAGGUGGGCUGAGCCUCCUGGCUUUGGCAGCUGGAGGUGACAGUGCCCUGUGAACACGUGGGGGAAGAAAUAAGGCAGCACAGCAGGUGCCGGCUUGUGAAAGACCUGGCACUGGCUAAGGAGUGGGGCUUUCCCCUGGAAGGCACAGGGUGCCAUUGAGGGACAACAGCAAGAGCCAUCUGAUUAGAUCUGGCAGCUGGGUGAGGGCUGGGGACAACAGAAUGAGGUGGAAAAGAGGGCUCUGGAAGGGCAGAUCUGUUAUCCCUCCUUUCUCCCCACACAUGCAGAAUUACCGUCUCCAAAGUCAAAACUGGCAGUUUAAUAACCCAUUUAAAAAAUUUGAGACCCAAUUUGAGACCCAAGUCAGUAGCUCCCAUUUUAAUUUAGAUAAUCAAAAGUCGGCUACAUUGAGCCAUUUGUGCUUUGGGUACAGCCCUGGCAGGUGGUUUUAGACAGACAAGCUCAAAAAGAUGUGCCAUUGAAAAACCAGCCUCUACCUCAGAGCAAAGCCUGUCCAAGGAAAGGACAUGACCUUUGUCCUUGAAAGACCCACAGAGCACUCCUAGGCACAUUCCCACCCUGCUAAAUUGUUUAUCUACAAA